UUUGCUGUGAUCCGUUUGAUUUUUUUAGAUCUCCAAAACAAGUACACGGAAACACCUACAGUCUCUCUCUCUCUCUCUCUCUCUCUCUCUCUUUCUCUCUCUCUCUCCUCCCCUUUUCAAGUUUUACUCUCUUUCUCUAUCUAAACCCCCAAACCUCGAAAAAGCUCUAAAAUUCUGGACAAGAUCGUAGAGAUAGUGUUUCGAUGGACGAAAGCAAAGACAGGGGUGUUGCUCGUGAAAUUGUAGCUGGGGCUGUUGGGAGUCAGGGUCAGGUUAGUGAGGAAGGUGCGCCUUGUAAUGGGGAUGAUCUAAUGGUGGAGGUUUUCGGGUCUAAUGUGUAUGUGGGUGGAGUUUGUACUAGUGGGGGAGGGGAUGAGGAGGAUAAAGAGGUGGGUCGUGAGGAGUCGGUUGAGGUUGAUAUGGGUUCAGGAAGGAAUGCGGGCUCUGUGGGUGGAGAUGGUGGUGAAGCGGGUUCGGGUGGGAAGGUAGAGUCGGUGGAAGAAAGAAGGGGAGUGGUUGCAGUGGAGGAGGUUGGGGUGGUGGUUAGGGAGGAGAGUUUGAAGGGAGCAGGGGCAGCUGCUGUUGCUGGUUCGGCUGGUGGAGAAACACAGGUAGUUGAUGUUGAGAAAGCUGAAAAAGAAAGGAAACAAAUUGGAGGACUUCUGGAGGAAGUUUUUGGGCGUGGGAUUACGGAUGGUGUGAAACAAGAGAAGAAGGUAGUUGAUGGUGGGGCUGAUUUGAAGGUACAGAAAGUUAGUGUUGCAGAUGAUGAAGUAAGGAAUCCUGGAAUUGGCACUGUAGCUGCAAGUUCUUCGGAAACAGUGGAGAAUUCUUGUGUUUGGACCCGAGUUGUGGAAAAAGCUCCAGUUGUCAGUGACGAAGGUUCGAGUCCCAAACCCUUGAAUGGACAAAGGCAAGUGUCUGCUGCUGCUGGUGAUGUUUCAGGCACGGACAAAGGAGAUACUAUGACUUCCGAAGUCGCAGGUGUAGAGAUUGGUAAAAUUGAUGAAAGUAAUUCAGUAGGAAAACAGCAGGUUAAGAUUGAGUCGCUAGGUGGAAACAUCCAUACUCACAUCAAUCUACCUGCACAUACAGCUGCUUCGUCCCUGCCAGCUAAUGGAGAGGAUCUCUUGAAUUCUGAAAAAGAUCAUUUGAGAUUAGAAGAGAGUGUAGAGAACAUGUUUCAUGAUAUUGCUCAGGUUGGAUCAAAUACUUCAUCUCUACCAGCAAAACUACAUCCUGGACGCAUAGAUCGAGAGGGUGUUUUGAAUUUUGAAAGUCAUCAGCACUUGAAACACGAAGAGAUUGUAGACAAGAACAUGGUCCAUGAUAUGGCCCAGGUUGAAUUAAAUGGAGGGCAAGAAAUGGAAGUGGACAGCCAAGUUAAUGAUGCUGAACAUGGUGAGUUGGUUUCAGGAAAUGAUCAGAACUCAAAAAUUGAGAAAUCAUGCAUGAACUCUGUUGGGAAGGAUCAAAAGUUGAAGUUUGAAGAGAGUUUAAACAAUAAUGUGACCACUGAUCUUGCUCAGUCCAAGACCAAUGUUGUAGAUGAGGUUGAGGUAACUGAAGCUGAUAUGGAUGGUUUAUAUGGAGAAAGCCUAGACAUGGAAGUGGACAGAGAUGCUAGUCAUAGGGAACAACCAAAACCCAGUGAAGAGAAAAUUGUUAUUCAAGAAGCUACGCAGCCUGAAAGCUCUGAAAUAGUGCCUCAACUUAGAUAUGAGCUGCCACAAAAAAAUGAAGGUACAUUUUCUGUCUCAGAUUUAGUUUGGGGUAAAGUGAAGAGCCAUCCAUGGUGGCCUGGACAGAUAUUUGAUUUUAUGGCUGCAUCUGAGAAGGCAAUGAAACAUCAUAAGAAGGACUGUUUUUUGGUGGCCUAUUUUGGGGACCGAACAUUUGCAUGGAAUGAAGUAUCUAGUUUAAAGCCUUUCCGAUCUUAUUUCUCCCAGGCAGAGAAGCAGUGCAAUUCAGAAACAUUCCACAAAGCUGUCAAUUGUGUUCUGGAAGAAGUUUCAAGACGUGUAGAAUUGGGUCUAUCAUGCUCAUGCAUACCAAAAGAUGUUUAUGAAAAGAUCAGAUUCCAGAUUAUUGAAAAUGCUGGGAUAUGCCAUGAAUCGAGUAGAGUGGAAGGAGUAGAUGAAUCUGCAGGUGCAAGUUCAUUUGAAUCUAAUAAACUACUUAAAUAUGUAAAAGCUUUAGCACGGUUCCCAUCUGGUGGCAGUGACAAAUUAGAACUUGUCAUUGCCAAGGCUCAUUUGCUGGCAUUUUUCCGUUUAAAGGGUUAUUGUAGUUUGCCUGAAUUCCAGUUUUGUGGAGAUUUGUUGGAAAGUAAAACAGAUAAUUCGCUCUCUGGGGACAAAACAUGUCCAGGUGAAAUUACUGAGCAUGCGACUUAUAUUGGGAAGGAUGAUAAGAAGACUGGCCCGGAGAUUGAGGAACUCAAGUCUAGCUCUUCUCAUAAACGUAAACAUAAUCUAAGAGAAGGAGUGUAUGCUAAAAUGAAAGAGAGAAGCCUGUCAGAAUUAAUGGGUGGCGAAACAGGUUCUCCAGAUGGUAAUGAUUGGUUGGAUGUGAAGGCUUCGCCAUUAUCUGGCAAGAGACGGAAGGGUGCCGAGUAUCUGGCUGCUGAUUUAGCCACACAAGAUGGGAGGAAAGCUGCUUCCCAUUCAACAGUUUCAAAUACAACACCUUCACCAAAACCAUCGUUUAAGAUUGGUGAAUGUAUCCAGAGAGCUGCAAGCCAACUGUCAGGGUCUACUAUAGUGAAGAGCAGCACUGACAGACCUGCUGUGCAGGGAUCUGAUGUUCCCUUCCAGAGUUCCGAUGAUACUCUCAGAGGAGUGAAUAAUACAACGAAGUACUCAUCUCUAGAUGAAUUGCUGUCACAACUUCGGUCAGCAGCAGAAGAACCUCUGAAGGAAUACAAUUCCUUGAGUACUAUUGUCAAUUUCUUCUCUGAUUUCAGGAAUUCUGUGGUUGUUGGCCAGAAAUCUGGGGUGGUGCUUUCAGUUGUAAACAAAGUUGGUGGUAAAAAGAGGAAGUCAAAUUCUGUGCAUGGGUUACCUGAGACUUUUGAAUUUGAUGAUAUGAAUGACACUUAUUGGACAGACAUGGUAAUCCAAAAUGGUGGAGAAGAGCAAGCAUCACGGAAAAGAAAAACGAAGUAUCAACCUGUCGUCCUUGGGCAACCAGAAAAGCCCCCUCAAGUGGGUCGCAGGCCAUACACCAGGAAGAAGUUUUCUCAAGGGAGUCAAGAUUUGCCUCCGGAGAAACCUGUUGGCUAUGUGGAUGAGAAUGCACCAGCAGAACUUGUAAUGAGCUUCUCUGAGGUGAGCUCUAUUCCUUCAGAAACAAACCUGAAUAAAAUGUUCAAGCGCUUUGGACCUCUGAAGGAAUAUGAAACAGAAGUUGAUAGGGAGAGCAGCCGUGCUAGAGUUGUUUUUAAGAGAUGUUCUGAUGCAGAAGUUGCUUGCAAUAGUGCUGGGAAAUUCAACAUCUUUGGACAGAUUACUGUAAAUUACCAGCUCAACUAUACUCCCUCUCAGCUCAACUACACGCCAUCUAUUACGUUUGGUGCAUCUACCAGUGCUGCAGCCCAGGAUCAGGAGGUGCAACUUGUUUUUCCCUCCCAUGAUCAUGAGAUGCAUCUUGAUCUCUCCACCCAUGACCAGAUGCAGCUUGAUCUUUCCACCCAUGACCAGAUGCAGCUUGACCUUUCCACCCAUGACCACAUGCAGCUUGAUCUUUCAACCCAUGACGAGAUGCAACUAGACCUCUCAACAUUCGAAGUUAAUCUGGUUUGAUGCUUGGAGAAUUAUGAGCUGAUAUUUUUCCUGACACUGCUGCCUUGAUUGUUGGCAGUUAGGAGAGCGGAUGCCGAAGAAAAGACAGAUACAGGGCUGGUAAAGAGGCCGUGAGACACAUGCUAAUGCCCAUAGGAUAUCCAAACUGAAGUGGCUUCUGAGGAAGGUACCAGACUGUUUAUUCAUCUGGUUAUCGUCGGAUUUGAUCUUGUGCCAUGGUUUCUGUUCUGUUUUUCGCCAAGAUGCCUGUUUUGCUCUCUGUUCUGCAAUCGUAUGUCCAUAGUCCGAUGUAUAGCAGAGAUAGCUUUCUCACCCUUGAUGGCAACAAGAUUUGAGUCCUUGAUAAGCAGGCUGUUCAAGUUCCAUUUCUUCCUCCCCAGUAGUAGAUUUUAUGUUACCAUAGGAUGCUGUUUACAUGUCAUAAUUUCCUGGGACUAGGGAUUUCGGAAAAUGAAAAUCAUGGAUGAAAUUCAUCCAUUUCUAUAUGUCGUGACUCGUAUCCCAUAAAACUGUUGAUUCCAAAUGUGGAGCAAAGCUGCAAGAUCUCCUCUUUCUGGUUUUGAGCCCGACUGCCUCUACUUUUUGGGUUUGGGGAUGCCAUAUUACCAUUAUGAAAUGCGAAAAGUCUGGUGUUCAGGGACUGUGGCUGACGCAUGUAAUUAUGCCACGAUUUUGUGUAAUUACGUUGAGUCAGUCCCUCUGAAAUGAUAUGUUUACUUGCUUCAUAUUGGAAUCAUUAAUUCAUCAAACAAACGGGAAACGAUCAGUCGUAUAACGGUGAUGCCUAUUAGUGAAGGGUAUUAGGCAGACUCAUUGCCUAGGACAGCUGAAUAUACUUUCCUUCUUCACCUGGAAGCUUGAUAUUCUUUAUCAACUGGAUCAAUUAAAUUUCUGGAAAGAGCAACCAUUACCAACUGGAGUCGACAAGCAGUGAAUGUUUUGAAGUGUUCAUGGUAUUAUCAAGGCAACCCCCGAACACCCUUCUAGGGGAGUAAAAUGAACUUCAGGCGCAGUGAGCAAUUUGACGAGUCAGUUUAGAACUUACCACAAGUAAUUUCAGAAAUUGAUUUAUCAAAGAGCAGGGCUUGCAGAACAGAUAUUGGUAUAUCUGUUUCAUUUACUCAGAUGUUCAUGCUAGAAAUUGAAUCUGUUGGUGUUAAAUUAAUCUGCAAAUGUUGCAUGCAGGAUUGUAAUUAUGAAUUCAGUAAAAGAUAGAUGCUAAGUGGGUUUGUUC